CUGGCCCGCAAGCGCCGCGCGCAGCCCCGGUUCCCGCCCGCGCCUCUCCCUCCACACCUCCCAGCAAGUUAAGGGAGCCCAGCAAGGCUCCGGCCUUGGCCAGCCCAGAAAGGGACUCCCACAGUGCAGUGCCGGGCUGAAGGGCUCCUCAAGCGCGGCCAGAAUGGGCCCCGAGGCCCAGGUGGUGCCAAGAGAGAGCGACGGCUGCCAGCAUGCUGUUACCUCUCAUUAGGAUACUUAGAAAGUUUUCUCUAGCUGCAAUUGGGAUUUUCAAGCUGACCCCCAUCUGGUAGGAUGAUGAUGCCUUCUGGAAGAUUCUCGACAGAGCCCAAAUGACCAACAGAGUAGGUCAAAAGCAGAAGGACAGAUGAUAAAAUGCCAAAAAAGGGAGUUUCAACCAGACAAGAGUUUAGGAGAGUAUUUUGAUGGAAAGAAGAUAGCAACCAUAGGACUCGGUUGUAGACAUCCAGAAGAUGGUGCAAAACAGUAGCUGCAUUUCAGCAGAAGCCCAAUGGAUGUGGAAAACAAUGGCUUAACAGAGGUAACAGGCUGCCAUGAGCUUCAUAAAAACAAAUUCAUGACACUAAUUGACUUAUUUAAUAUGAGAAGAAUCAAGAUUUUCACACUCAAGUUGAGGACAUACUUAAAUUAGCCAACCAAAUAAAGGGCAAGUGGCUUGAAAUAUAU
rnacentral:lncRNA from 10 species